CUCCUCUCAGGAUGGCAGCUGGAGAGUUUCCAGUACUCUACUAGUCUCAGCUAUGGGAGGAAGAGACAAGCAGAGGCCUACUCAUUCCAUUCCUAGCUUGGCCAGUGGCUAGAGAGAGGAAGACAAUCUACUACAUAU